rnacentral:rRNA from 1 species
GAUGAACGCUGGCGGCGUGCCUAAUACAUGCAAGUCGAGCGAACAGACGAGGAGCUUGCUCCUCUGACGUUAGCGGCGGACGGGUGAGUAACACGUGGAUAACCUACCUAUAAGACUGGGAUAACUUCGGGAAACCGGAGCUAAUACCGGAUAAUAUAUUGAACCGCAUGGUUCAAUAGUGAAAGACGGUUUUGCUGUCACUUAUAGAUGGAUCCGCGCCGCAUUAGCUAGUUGGUAAGGUAACGGCUUACCAAGGCAACGAUGCGUAGCCGACCUGAGAGGGUGAUCGGCCACACGGGAACUGAGACACGGUCCAGACUCCGACGGGAGGCAGCAGUAGGGAAUCUUCCGCAAUGGGCGAAAGCCUGACGGAGCAACGCCGCGGGAGUGAUGAAGGUCUUCGGAUCGUAAAGCCCUGUUAUUAGGGAAGAACAAAUGUGUAAGUAACUAUGCACGUCUUGACGGUACCUAAUCAGAAAGCCACGGCUAACUACGUG